UCUACAUUAGUAAAUGCACUGACAGCCGCAAGGUGGGUCGGAUACAGCGACUGGACGUGAGCCAGCAGUGGGCCCAAGGUGGCCAAAAAGCAGCUACUGCUUCCAAGGACAGCUCAGCCACAAGCAACCUCUGCUGAUCAGGCUCCACAGUCCUGGACAUUCAGAAUAGCAGCACCACUGAGAGUCUGCCACCACUGAGAGCAGCACAGCCAGUGCCAGCUGCUUCUCAGCACCUGAUGGUCCAAACUGACACCACAAGGCAGCAUGGGCUCUCCCACUGUUCCAGAAUGUGAGGAACCAAACUGCCCUCUCUACCACAAAGUCUUGGUGGACAGCUACAAGUCUUUGCACUGCAGAUAAAAACAGCAUCAGAGGUAAUCUGACUGACAUACUUUGUAAACACACCAGUGCAUCUCUUGCUUACAAAGCAAUAGCCCUCUUGUACCUUCUAACAUGGACUGUACAUAGCCUGAGCACUCAAAUCAACUUGGUAAUAGGAUUAUUCAUUUCAGAAAGGCUUCACAAGCUGUUGCUCCAAAGAAACUUGGGUGCUGCAUGCUUGAAACAGGCCAAGCAGUUACUGCAGAAGCACACAAUCUUAUUUGAAGCCAGGCCUUUUAAUCCACAUUAUGUCCCCAUUGAUGAACAUGCAAGGCCACGCAGGACAAAGAUAAAAUGUGGGCUCCGGAAAGCAUUAAGCACACAUUUUAACUUUUUAAUCUUUCAUAAAACAUGAAUACUUAGCAUAUAAGCAACAGGCUAAUUAUUUGGCCUCAAAAUACUUUGCAGAUUCCUGUAACUAAUGAAAAAGCAAACUUCUGACAUAUAAUUACAUACAUUUCUAUCCUUUAGCUGUUUUCAAACAUCUACUCAUUUAAGAACACUAUAGCAAGAAAAACAUGAAACAAACAUUAUCCUGCAGGAGUUUACAGAAUAUAAUUCAAUUAAAGUGAUUUCACAGUGCAGUUUUUCAAAGGUGUCUAGUGAUAACAGAUAAACAAGAUUAAUAUUAUCUCUUAUCUGUGAUCGUUUCACACACUAGAAAAUAUCCUUAAAACACUCAAAAUGUAAAUGUCAUACUCUUAAUUCUUCUAUCUAUUUGGUCCAGUGCAGUGAAAUAAUGGAUAAAGCUGCCACACGGUAUUUAUGGGGAACAGCAGCAUGUAGGUGGAAUAUUUUUCUAUAUUUAAUGAAAUGUAUUUUCAUAGAAACAUAGAAUGGCUUGGGUUGGACUUUGCAGAUCACCUGUAAGGCAUGAGCACUUUCACCAGACCAGGCUACUGAGCUCCAUCCAACCUGACCUUUAACAUGUACAGUGAUGGGCAUCCACAUCUUUUCUGGGCAACCUGUUCCAGUGUUUCAUCACCCUCACAAUAAAGACUGUCUUCCUAACAGCUAAUCUUAAACUAUUUCAGUUUGAAGUCAUUCCCCCUUGUCCUGUCACUACAUGCUCUUGUAAAUACUCUCUUUAUAUGAAUCUGUGCUGCUUCCUAGGAGUAUUUCCUCCCACUGUAUAAUACCAGGUCUUGUAUAUAAAGAACAUUUAAAAGUAUAUCCACAAAUGUAAUUGUUGCUUUACAGCAGCACUGCCAGAAAUGCUGCUGUAUAGCAACACAAUUAGAAUUCCUGCUGCUUCCUACUUCCAUGACUCCUGCUCACAACUAGUCAAAAUAUUCCAUGGACUGUCCAUUCUAUUCCAGCAAUAUUUAGAUUCAUAACAUUCCUCACCUAACUCUAGCAAGCCACUUAUGCAAUUUGUAUCUGCUAAACAUGGCACACCAGUGCACUAUUUAGGUUCUAAUACAGAAACUCUGUAUUGAAUACUCUAUUCAGCUUUGCAGUGUUCUGUUUUUGUAAGCAAGAAGGAAUUCUAAGUAAAACUAAUGUCCUUUUCCAGAAACACAAACAGUCCUUGAAAGGCAAGUAAUGUUAAAUACCACCCCCUUCUCCCACACCUAAUGUUAGACAUCUUCAGAUGUUUGACUUUGCCUUAUAAAGGGGAAAAUGCUUCUGCAGCUUUGGUGUUGGUCAGUACUCAUGAGGUAAAAGGUAAUAGCAGGUAAGCAGAAAAAUUCAUAUGCAGAGCUGUGAAAUAAUCUUCCCAUUGCUCCAUCUCUUAGUAUUAUACUGAAGUAAAAACAUUCCAUUUAUUUUGAAACUAUUUGACCUCUGGAAAUACAAUAUUUUAAAAUUUUCCAUUACUGAGUAACUUUGAUUUCACCAUAUCAUUUCUCAAUUUAUGGUGACAUCUUAAUGAAUAAAUUAAAACCAAAAGCACAGCUUAAAAAAUUGCUGUUAACUGUGCAAUUCUUUAGUUUGUUACCUAAUUAAGAACUGAAAUACCAGAGUAAGAUAGCUGUAACUUACCACUGUGCUUCGUAAAAGUUGUUCCUCAUCUGUUUCAGAGAACAGCUUAUUUAAUUUUGCAUACUGAACUUCAUUACACUACCAAGAAUCAAUUCCUUGUUUAAUGUUUUUACUAUUUGUGUAUCAUCAUUUCUUCCAAGAACCUCACUCAUUGCCCAGGCUGUACAGCAGUCUUUAUUCCCAAGGCAACAGAACAAGAACACUGACGCUACCACAAACCCUUUCCAAUCUAGAUGUAAAAAAAUGGACAGUGAUGUUCAAGGAAACAAAAUGAUGCUGAUCAGCAUGCUAGGCAAUCAAACCCCAGUCAUUUGUGCUUUGUGAGGUACAGAACCUUGUGAAGCUUUUCAUGGUUUUCUGAACAACAGUGCAGCUGAUGUGAAGAUUUUUAUGGAGACCUUAUGCAAGCAUAGGAGAAGGCAAGGAAAGAAUGCGCUCAGCUGCAAAGUGAUGUGAGCACUGUAAUAGGUUGGAGUUGGCAUCUUACUGGAGAAAUCAGACACAAAGCAGUUACAGGUACGGAAGGGCCCUCAGAAACAAAAUCAACUAGCUUCAGCUUCACUCAAUAAUUGAGAAGGGGCAGACAGAAAAGAUGCAGAGUUCUAACUAUUUUUAAUCAAUAUAGAAGAAUCUGUGUAAAAACAGUUAAAGCCAUGCUGCAAUUAACUUCUUUCAAUAUACACAAGAUAGCUGCAGAGCCAUCUGACAAUUCUUGGAUGAAGACCUGUAGAACUAACAGCAUUAGAUUCUCAACAGACAAAGGGGAUAAAAUUGAGCCAGCACACACCACCAACCCCUCCAGUCAAAACCAAGGUCAACACAAAUUGUGGUGGAAGAGUGUGUGUAUACACACACACACACACACACACACACACACACACACACACACACAGAUUCUUUCCCACUUGAAAAGUAAGAGGAGCCCACACAACUCUGCAUCACUCCACCACAGAUGGAAACUACUGGUACAGUGCUCAUCAGCUGUCUCAGAAACAGCCACUUAACUUACAAGCUUACUUAUCAAGUUUCUAUGCUAGAGGAGCAUGCAGCACACAAUAAAGCAAACCCACUGAAAUUUAAAACAAUUUAUAAAGUACUGUUAAUCCCUAUUCUCUACAACCUCCAUAUUCUUUCAAAAAAUGUGUAAAAAUAAGGAGAUGAGGACAUGAGAUUUCUGAAAAGUUCACAAUGGACAGUUCUGGAAACAAACUUCACCUGGGAUCUGUAAAGCAGUGCAAAUGCCAGCACAACAGUUGGAUUUGAAAUCAUUUUCCAUUAAAAAACCCCCAAAAAACCAAAUACAGAUAAUGUAAGCAACAUCAAAACAGCUGCAGUUCCUAUUGCAUGACUGGCCUGAUUUGCUAUUUUCUUUCAUGACUUGUAAAAUACCAGUAGUAAGAAACAGCACAAAGGCUUUUUCUUAAUAAAUUUUAAUAUUAAGAGCAGUUUGUCUGGAUAAAAAUGCAGUUACAAGUACCACACUACUGCAAAUUCUGCAUGAUGCACAGUAGUGCUGACAACAUUUGAGUAGCAAGACCAUUUUGGAACUGUUUAUGAAAGGUAUGUCAAAAACAUGGCGUAAGUAAGAAUAUAUGUUACCAGUGAAUUUAUUAUUGUGAAAAUAUAUCUGUCCCACAAUGUACACCACUGUGAAUAAUCAAAUGCAAUAUUUAUGCACAUCAAAAAUAUAUGGGGUGAAUAUAUACUCAGUUGAGCAUUAAAUCAGCCACAGUAAAUGAAAGAAAUAUUUUGGCUAUUUUCUAUUAUUUCAUUUCAUUGGAAAUUUCCUAAUAAAUCACUCAAAAGGGCAAUAUUUCUGGUUCAAAACCAUCAGGAUAACAGUAAUUCUGUAAAAUAGUAUGGAUUUGAGAGAUUUGAGCCCGAUCUUCCUGCCACUAGAUUCAGAUGCAUUUGGCUUGUGCUCGCUGCCUUAGAACAUAAGUCCAGACACCAAAAGAAUGAGCUACCACCUUCACAGCCGGGACCACAUUAGUUCAUACCAGGUAAGAUCAGGGAUGCAACAUCAAUAAAAGGAGAUGACACUUUAAAAGCACCUGCCAGAUUCUCAAGGAUUAACUACAUACACACAUAGUAAAGUACAGAAUACUGAAGGAGAGUGUAUUGAAUAGCAAAUUAAAUGUUCCAUCCAAUGUUCCAUCACUUUUCUCAAUACUGCAAUGGAUAUUCACAUUUUUCGCAUUGGUCCAGGAAAGAUACUGCAAUCUAAGCAUGUGAUCUGAUGCUACUUAAAGCUUUGUGAUACUGUUAUGCAUUUUCUUUAUCUACAUAACUGCCACCCCCAAACAUAAGCGCAAAAGAAAUCUAUCUACAUAUAGAAAUAUCAGAGACUUGACUUGGUGGCUCUUGUUUGACUGUGUUCUUGCAAAGAAAUCUGCUAACUUUUCCUUGCCUGUUUAAUAAGAUAUGUGUUCCCCUGCCCAUCAGGCCAUAAAUGGUACAUGAUAAAUCAGUAUUAUCCC